CCAACUGGCUUCAGAUGGCGUGUGUAUGUGCGUGUGCCUGCCUCCUGAGUGUGUGAGACGAGCUGGGAUCAUAAGCCAGGGUUGUUACAAGUGGUUUUAAUCAGCAGUCCAUUAGAGGAGAACGGAAAACUUCAAACAGAUUAAGAACCAAGUUGUUCCAGUAGCCCCGUGAGAAGGUGCUCCCCAAGCCUCUGCUCCUCUGGAACCCAUGACUUCUUGCCUGACACCAGGAAAACAGCAGCAGAAAUGGGAAAACUCAUGCUAGUUUUGGGUAAAGUGUGCCUUUAACUUUUUUUACUGUGGCAAGACGUGGCUACUUGGACUGCAUCUGGAAUGUGGCAAAGGUUGAAGUGAGGACGGCAAAGAGGCCAUGGUUUGUGGGCAAGUCCCCAGGUGCCGCAGGCUUUGUCGCCCUCGUCCCUUCCUUCUGGCCACAGUGGUGGCCAUCUGUCUGUUCUGCCAGACCCUGACUCCUCUCAUGACCAGCAGCAUCCUUUCGGCAGUUGUUAAUGGAAUUACAUCCAACAAACUGACCAAAACACAGCAAGGAAGGUACAAGGAGGUCUCUCCAAGCACCACUAACUGCUUUCUCCCUGGCAGUAACUCACAGACACUGAAAAAGAUCGAUGAUUCCAUUCUCCACUACUUUGGAAGCCCCAUGAGAAGAGCAGUUUUAUAUGCACCUCCUGCCCACCGUGAGACCGACCGUCAGCUCUGUCAGCGCAUCCUGGAAAAACACAGAUAUACAGUCACAGUCCUUGAAAACAGGAGACAAGUGGAAAACCCCAGGCAUGAGGGCCCUUAUCACAGUAAGACUAACUGGACUUAGUUAAUUCAUUUAUUACUAAAUGUGAUCACUAAAUACAGUAUUUAUUCAGCAUUCUUCCACAAAGAUAAAGCUUAUAAAGUCCAACACAAGUAAGGAUAGAAGCCAAAUUCUAGCCCUUCUCAGUUGUGAAGCUAAUUUUCCACAAUUAGGUGAUUCUUCCAUUAGAUAUAUCCUUCCUUAAAAUAAUGCAGCAGAGUAGUUUGUCAUAGUCUUGACAACUAAAUCAUAUCAGUUUGGUUUCUGAUGACUUCUCAUACCAACUUCAUCAAUAUUUUCAAUAGUGCAUUUUAUAACAAAACACAUACCUGUUACAUUUAGUUCCUUUUCAUUUUCUCUCUUAAAGAAAAGCUGUAUCCACGAAAGUACUUUUUUCCUCUGGUAAUGUUUUGAUUGUUCUGUAAGCUUGUUAAAGAACAUGAUACAGAAAAAGUCCAUUUUCCAUUUGCUGCAGAAUCUGGGGUGCAUUACUGUUGGUUCUUAGUUUCUGUUGAAAGUUGAUCCACAGUUAAAACAGGCUACUGAAGAAGCCUGGUCUCUUGCACAAGGGACUAUGGCUUUGUUGUGUACAGUUACACUGUGCUUGAUAAAGGAGCUUUGGGCACGAGUUAUAUAUAAAUUGACCAUGUUUAAGAGUUCUUGGACACCGUAGAUGUAUGAACUGAAACUGUGUUCUCUGUUUGGUCUUCUGUUGCAAGUAAGUUUGGAAACUGGAUGACUUUGAAAAAAUACAUAGGUCACCAUUCUGUCAGAUGGAAAAUGGUGUGGUUGGAUAUUUCUCAUGCUAAAGGGAGUGCUGUUUGCAUCAUUCGGGCUUUCAACAUUUCUGGGGUUGCCAGAGAGCUCAGUUUUGUUUUGAGUUUAACCAAACUGAGGAGUUUCAUAGAUGAAAACUGUAAUUACUUAGCAUGCUCAAGGCUGCCCAAAAUUCCAUCACUAAUUUCAAGUUUCUUUAAGAAACUUUCUUGAAAAUGAGGUUCAUUCAGUUUUCUUUGGUAGGCUGUACCAAGAAAUAGUGAAUGGUCUUCACCUCAUUCUUAUUUGAGUCUGGUAACAUUGGCACAUUUUAGCCACUCUGCCUUGAGUAGUUUCCAUCGCAGUGGAAGACACAGCAUGUCUGCAGGUUUUGCUAAUGUCAGAUGGGCUGCAGAGAAAAGAUGGCAUCUCUGGGGAUCAUGUGAACCAUCUCUGUGAAACAUUUCUGUUUCAAAUGGCUAAGGAAGUGGGUAUGCCAAAUUCAGUUGUGACCCAUAAAAAAAAAGACUGUACUAGAUUUUCUUAUAAUGAUGAGUUCAGAUUGAAGUUCUCCAAUACAGGUUUUUGCACUGCAAACAUUUUCCCUGCAGAAAUCAGCUUAACUGUGGGUAUUUAUAUUUUACAGGCUAGAACCAGUAUUUCCUGUAGUAUUUUUCCAGUAAUAAAAAAAAUUAAAAACUGAAAAGAUUUUAAGUAUUUUCCAGGAACAUCCUACAGCUUUCAGCAGAUGCUGGAUUACAUAAAAAAGUCAAAUGCUUGCCAAUUUAAGGCAAAGAGUAAGACUAUUAAUUCCAUUUCAUGGCAACAUAACUCUGCCUUUAACUAUUCCCUGUUAUGUAAGUGCCUAGCUUUAAAGUUACGUUUUAAAAACAAGAAGUAAGUAAAAGAGCAUGUCUGCAUACCAAACCAAUGAUCUUUUCUUGCAGCUAAUUAAACUGCGUUCAAAGUUAAUUUUUUUUGCCAAUAGAUGAUGGGGUUUACUGUUCUGGAUGGGAUAGUACUUCUUAUUUUGGAGAAGGGUAUUUUGGCCUAUGCUUUGGCAUACUUUCCUAAUAGGAGUUUAAUAAGUUAUUAAAAAUAUACUCCUUGAAGCCUCAGUUAAAAAUAUAUAGGUAACGAACUGUGAAACAUAGAUUCUGAAUGUUGUGAAAAAUCUGUAAAAAGAAUCAUUCCUUCUUACUUGGUAUUAUUUAGCAGCUCUAUCUGGUGCUUUAUUUUUGUUCAGUCUGUCUUACUCAUGUAUCUUUCAAAGUACACUUAAAUUUGAAAGGAUUUUUUGUUUUGAAUGGCUGAGGGCCAAGACUCUAGCUGAAGUCAUAUAUGGAAAAAAAUUCACCACAAAACAUUCCUAACUUUUUUUUGUGCUGGCCCGCUAAGAAUUUUGGGACCAGUUCUGCUCCUGUUUGAAACCCAAAUGUGACAGCUCUGCACACUGAUCUUCCAGAAAGAUCCUCCACACCUGGGCUGCGGUACUGUGUUGAGUUCACUGCUGCCAGAGAGAAACGGAGGAAUGGUUUUCUUCAGUGGAAGUUUUUCACUUCUUACACACCAGCCAAAACAUUUUGAGUUUUGGUAACUGGAAAACAGUUGGCCAGAAAGGAAAAGUAUACUUUUUUUUUAGUCAUGGCAGAGUCUGUGGGUUAUGGGAUUACUAUGAAAAAUCCAUACAGAUGUGUUCUGCAGUAAAACAUAAAUUAUUCAAUCCCCUAAUUUUUCACUGAAAAAUAGCUUUGUCAGUAAAUUCUCAAGCAGCUUUGCCUGAACAAAAAGUAUUUGUGCUUUCACCAUUCCUUAGCAAUCAAAUCCACAUGGAGAGAAAAGUCCAUGGACUGAUGGUAUCUGUCCCUGCUCUGAGCUUUUUGAGACUUACUUUCUCAGCAGCCCUAAAUGAGCCAGUUUUGCUAUAAGUUUAACAUGUCUCUUAGUCUGCUGCUGGCAUGGAGAUAGAGAGGUGGUACUGUAUUAGUAGCAGAUGAUGGGAUAGUCAGAUUAUGCAGAGAACUGGGAUUGCCACCUUGGGCAAUCCAUUUUAGCAUGGUCAGUACCUCCAGUAAGUAUCUGUGGUAAGUCUGUUUUGAAGCAAGCAGUUCAAAAGAAGUUGCAUAACAGCAGAUGAGAAAGAUAUCAGGUUGUAUGGGCCAGCACAUCUACAAAUGGUACAGCUGUUUUGUUUGCCAGGUAGGCAGAAGAAGGUGUCAUUGGUGUGUGGCUCCUUCCUUCCUUCUGUGUCCUUUUUUAAAAUGUGAACCUCUGCUCAUAGAGGCGUAGCCUCUGGGACACAUUCUGCCUUUGCCGCAGCCUUGGAGGGUGUUGAAACCAGUGUCACAAUCUCAUGGAAAAUAAUAAAAUGAUCAGAAGGAGUGAGAAAGCCCCACACCUCCAUGCUUUCUCCUGGGAGGUUUGCCAUGCUGAGCUGUACAAACUACAGGGUUUCCGUCCCUCAGCCUGGGACAGAGCUGUGCUGCUCUAUCAGAGAAGAGUGGGAUUAGCCAUCUGGCUUCAGAGCACUCUUAGAUUCUCCCAGAGAGGCAAAUACUGGAGAAGAACUUGCCAAAUAUUUUCCAAUGUCUUCUGCCUUCUUUGUUCUUCCAGUCAGACAAGCUCUCAUCUCUGAUAUCACAGUAAAGAUUAACAAGAUCUGUGGGUCCCUUCGGCUCUGUGAUGCCCUGACAACAUUUUCACAACAAACAUUUUUUAAAAGGAAGGUUUUAUCUCAGAAUUUUUUUUCACUAAAAUGCAUUUCUGCCCUCCAAAAAUAAUGUUCCCUAGUUACUGUCUGCUGCCUGAACCUUUUAUGAAUUCCAUACUUUGCCCAGAUGAUAUCUUCAAAGAGAAGUAAACUCCUUAUAUCUUUCAUUCUGGAGCCAUCAGUUUCUCUGUCCUUUGCUCAAUGUGCCUGCCUCAUUAGUCAUUGGUAAUCCUCCUUUAAAAGGCAUUUCCUUCAUUUCUCAAUUCUUCACCUUUCCUAAUAGUUAAGCAAAUCUCAGCACACUGCAGACUCCAAAAAACAUGUGCAGUUGUAUGUUACAAAUCCAACCAGCCAGUUUUAGUUCAUGCAGCAAUAGCAUGCAAAGUUCUGUUGUUAGUGGUGCAUCUUGGAAUGGAAAAGAUUCUGCAUAACCUCAAAUGGUAGCCCGUUAGUUUGGCCAUGGAAUAAAACGCAUGUAUUCAAGCUACUGGCAAACUGAGUGCAAUGUAACAUUAUAUGCUCCCUGAUGCCUUAGAAUGUUAGUAAUUUGAUGGAAGUUUUUGCAAUUGUAUUGAGGGACUUUUAAAAAAGGAAUCAUAAACCAUUUUCAUAGUAUUGAUUUUACACGAUAAUUUCUUAUUUUUAGAAUACCAAGUUAAGUAUUUAAACUUAACUAUGGCUUCUGUUUGCAGUUUGAGUGACAUCCAUUGAAAAUGAAAUUUUAGCCAUGCCAUGAGAAAGAUAUCUACAGUACCUAUAUUGCUUUGGAUUGGGGUUUUUUUGUGAUUUAUUGUUCCACAAAAUAAGUAUUGAACCCAAUUUAGCUUUGGUCGAUAUUUAGCUCUUCUGUCAAUUUCCACUGAAAUCAAUACCAGUUUCAUUUCCUGUUCAUUCACCUGACGUUGAGUGGAGAUAGUACACUAUAUAUAUCCUCAAAUUUACAUAUAUAGCAAAGAAUAUUAGUUCUGAAGGUUUUUUUCACUUUUUUGGGUUUAUAAAUACACGCUUAAUGCUGUUCUAUUUUCUGUCACGUUAAGAGCUUGCUGUGUUUAAGUACUUGGCCGUGUUAACUAAGCCCUCGUUCCAGCAACUAACUAUGAGGAUGAUCUGGCUUUUCGCAGAUGUGGGAGUGGUGCUUGGGUGGAGCUGCAUCAGGAACAGGAAGGGAUGAGUGAGACGACACCCAUGGGAGCAAAUCUGUGUGAUCUUGGCCCUUCUUUUUGCGUGCUGGGCUCAAGAGAUCUGUCUCUUAUUUAAAGGAGCACUACUUACAGCAAGCAGUGAACAACUGUUCACUGAUAAAGCAAACUGUAUGUAGUCAGGCAUAAGUCAUUUUGCUGUAAAAUGGUGAUUUGAGAAUUGUGUUGCUAGGAAGGUAUGGCCUCUGCUGCCUCCCUCCUUUGCUCUCUGUAGAGAGUUCUGUUGCUUCUUUGUACCCAGUGGUCACUCCCUGUAAAAGCAGCUGCUUGGGGAAUGUCAGGGAGCAGGAGACUGCAGGAGCAGGCACAGGUCUUCAUAGAUGUGGAGUGAUGCUAGCUGCAAAGUUUUCUGUCUCCCUCUGUGUGCUACAUGACUGAAGAAGCAGUUGGGGACAGAUGAAAGAAAACUCUCCUUUGAUUCUUCCAAAAAGCAAUUUUCCAAGUCAGCCUUUAUUAAUUUUUCAUUUUGGUUUGUUGGGUAUCCUUUGGAAAAAUUACUUUUUAAAGAAAAUCUACAUUUUCCAUGGGAAGACAGUGAUUCUGUUCACUUUGAUUCAUAGUAGGAGUUAGGAGGCAGAGAAAUGCUGCCACAUCAGAGUUAGAGAUGGAGGAACUUAGAUAAAAACUUUAAGAGUCAUAGAACUAGGAUGAAAUGCAUGAUCUUUGCUGUGUAUCUUUAUGUUACUCCUUUAGCAUAUUGUAUCACCCCUAGUACUCCUCACUGUACAUACUUUUGACCAGAGGCUAAAUAGCAGAAGUAUCAGCCUAAUUGCUGACAUCUGGGCCAGCAGCAAGGUAGGAACUUGUAGAAAUGCUACUUCAUAAGUGCAGCCAGUAAUAGUUUCCUCAGGACUGCUAAUUAGUGUAGAGAAUAAACUACAGCCGUGGCUUUCGGAGGCCCUCAGGACCAUGUCUGGUGACUGUCAGACAUUCGCUUUUCAUUUUCCAAGAUACAGUAUAUCAGCAAAAUAAGUGAAAAUGAGAGAAGUUGGUAGAUAUAGGAGGACACAGUGAUGCUCUUUCUUCAAUGAGUGUGAAGGCUGGUAUGUUUGAGUGAACAGAGGUACUUGUUAACAUAAAAUAUUAACAAAGUCUGGUGCUAAGAAAAAAAGAAUGAUCUGUUCAUCAUGCCUAUAGUAAACAGUACAACAACAACAACAACAACAAAGUUGUUAUUAGGAAAACUGUUUUGGGGAUAAGGCUAGUGAAGUAAUCAAAUGGAGCUGUGGAGCAUUUGAUCUUAGACAUCUUGAAAUAUUAGAUAAAGAGGUUUUAUUGGGUGUAGUGAGUCCCCUUGUGGGGUAACAAGAUGAUCUCACAGAUUUCUGGAAGUCUAUGACUAACUUUGAGCAAUGAGGCAGACAAGAAACUGAUUUUUAGAAAAACAUGAUUUCUAAAGCAAAUGGAGCAAUUUCAGGUAUGAAUCAGGUGUGGUGACUCAGGGCUUGGAGGACGUGUCCUCCAAAUACAUAUGUAUCUUCAGUAUGUAGUUGCAUCUUCUUAAAAUGCAAAAUAUUCUCAAAAAAUCAAAAUCUAUGAGAAUGCAUUCCUGACAGGAGGGGAGGAAAUGGAAGGGAGCACAAAAUCAGUGGUUUUUAGAUACUAGCCAGCUGAAGUUUGAGAAGGUAGAAAGCAAAUAACAUAUUUUGAACUAGGGAUGGUUUUCAUGGGACAGUAUGUAAAAAUCAGUACUCAUAGAACCAAAUUUCUUUCCUUAGUGAGUGGUUUUCUAUUGAGUUAGAAAUACAUUAACAGGAGUAGGUAACAUUAGUUCUAACUUUCCUUUUUUUUAUUUUAUUUUAAUUACUCAGAAUACAGUUAGGAGGAGCCCUUACUUGCUGUUUGUUACAGCCUCAGACAAGUUUCCAUGAAAUCCAACUAACUUUAGCAAACAAUUAUAAAGACUAAAGGCCUCAAGGAAAAUUGCUUAUGUGUUCUGUAAACAUCUGGUUGCCAUUUUCAAUUACAAGGACCAACCCACUGAAGGAAGCAGUUUAGUUUUUUUGGAACAGAAAUGGGACACUGGGGUUUUUGUUCUUUUUCAUGGUGGAGAGUAAAGGAAAUGUCAGGAAUAGAGAGGUCACUAGAUGCUCAGCUUUUAUAAAUACAAAAGUCUCUGAGAAAAUUAAAGUAAAUUGGAAUCAGGUUCUGAAAGUGUAAACAAUCCUGUGGAGGUAAGGUUAAAUAAGCAGAACUGGAGCUCUUAGCAUGCCAGCAAAAGCACAAGAUCAUUCUAUCAUAAGUAAGUAAUUUAAAAUAUUGUGCAAAAUAAUAAUGCUGAGACUAGCCACAGAAGUAUUUUGUGGGUUACCAUACAAAUACAUGUGUAUCUUCAAAUCUAGCAGAUGUAAAUUCUCUUCCCAAAAUCAUUUUGGUUAACUGCUGGUACAAAUAUAUAACCAACAGUAUACAAAACUGAUUGGCUUUGUAAUGCAAAAUAUAUGUCAUGUGAGUCCUGAGCAAAGUUUUGACAAGUAAAAUAGAAGCAUACUUUUUGUAUGUUACUAAGCAAGGAGCUUCCUAAACAAGCUAAAUAGGUAGAAAUGUGGUCCUCAGAACACAGUGUGUUACAAGCAUGUGACAAACAAUGUUUGCUAAAUUUGU